UGACUCCCACAGUCCCACUCUCAAAUUCAAAAUCAAGACAAGUUGUCGCUUGCAACUGAAGUUUUCAAGUCACCCCCAAUUUUUCGAAUUUAAAAACUCUUCUUUUCUCACAAAAUUCUCCAAUUUCACCAGAAUCAAAUCCUCUGUUCAUCAAAACCUCCGAAAUUUUCAAGUCGAUUGAUAUCACAUAUCAAUCCCCAAAACCUAGAAUUGAAACAGCAAUGCAGAGUCGAAUAUCGAAUCACCGGCUGGCAGGUUCGCCGAUUCGGUCGCGAAUUUCUGCUUUAAUGCUUACUAUGUUCGCUAGUAUGGCUUCCAUCUACGUUGCUGGCCGAUUAUGGCAAGAUGCAGAGAAUAGAGUUUAUCUUAUUAAGGAACUUGAUAAGAAGAUUGGUAAGGGGCAUUCAGCUAUAUCUGUUGAUGAUACAUUAAAUAUAAUAGCUUGUCGGGAGCAGAAAAAGAAAUUAUCAGCUCUUGAGAUGGAGGUUGCUGCUGCAAGAAAGGAAGGAUUUAUUUCAAAAUUCUCUAGAGUGAAUGAGGAUACUGUUAAAAAGAAGCUUUUAGCUGUCAUGGGAAUUGCUACGCAGUUUAAUCGGAGGAAGAACAGAGAAGCAAUCAGAAAGGCAUGGAUGCCAACUGGAGCUGCAUUGAAAAAGCUAGAGAUUGAGAAGGGAAUUGUUCCAAGAUUUGUGAUUGGAAGAAGUGCAAAUCGUGAGGACAGUUUGGACAGAGAGGUGGAUGCUGAAAGCAGGCAGACCGGUGAUUUCAUUAUCCUUGAUGAUCAUGUAGAAGCACUGGACGAGAAUCCUAAAAAGACAAAAUUGUUUUUUGCUUAUGCUGCUGAAACAUGGGAGGCUGAGUUUUACGUCAAGGUCAAUGAUGAUGUUUAUGUUAAGAUAGAUGUCCUUGCUGCUGUUCUUUCUGCAAAUUUGGAUAAGCCUCGUAUCUAUAUGGGGUGCAUGAAGUCCGGGGAGGUUUUCUCUGAGCCGGGUCACCAAUGGUAUGAACCAGAUUGGUGGAAAUUUGGCGAUGGAAAAUCUGCUUUUUCGUCCAACCUCAAAGAGAAGUUCAAAGUGGUAGGAGGAAUGCGAAACUCUUUUGAUCAGAGAAGCGACACUAAUUUGUCUCUGGGGCCCUGUUGAGUGGACAACUAUCUGUUUAAAAUUUUUGGUUUCAAAAUUUUUAUAAGGUGUCUGAUUGUCUUAUUAUGUUAAGCUUCAAAAUUCCAAUGCAAUUCAUGUAUAGGGUUUUGUGGUUUGUUGGAGGGAGGGGGAGGCUCUUGUGAGUUGUUACUGCCUCAUUGUUUACGGAAGAAUGGUUGCCUUUACCAAACCGACUCACAAUCAAAGAAAAAGGAUAGCAGAAAGUUUUGCUCGACUGUCUCACUUCACAUUCACAUGCUCUUGGCUUUCAGCUUUGAUCAGCGCAUCAUUCUGCAAACCAAUCAAUGAAGAUUAAGUAUUAAAAAGGUGAUAAAAAGUAAUAAUGCAGAGAGAGCAAUGUAGUGCUCUAGAGACGACUUGAGGUAAAUGGGUGCUGUUAAUUACAUGAUAAGACUGGUUAUCUAUUUGACUUUUAAAUUAGAGCUUUUUGUGGAAUACUUUUGAUUUAGGUUUAAGUCGAAGCAAUUUCAUGCAGUUUAGGUGAGCUGUUGAUUGACUUCAAACUCUAAAGUCCAAGUCUUUAGUUUUAACUUAGAUCUCUCCAUGAUGCUAGUAGACAAAAAGUAGAGCUGGCUGGAGGUUGCCUUCAUAUGCCUGUUGAAUGUUGUUGCAACUUGCACAUAUGGGUGCUGCCGUGCAACUAUGCGGCUGUGCCUCUUCACUUCUUCAAACUUGUUCCUAGCCUCUCUGUUUGAACAUUAUUGUCAUUAUUGGGAAAGUGGUUUCAUUUACGCGAUAUAACUAUAUUUUAAGUAAAAAAAGCCUUCACAUCCUGGAGUGAUGAAUUAUAGUUCACUCUUAUCAUGCAAUUUUCAGUUAUUUAUGUGUAACCAAACAUGAUGGAUUCACUAUGUUCUUUUUUAUAAAUCGUGUCAUUGGAAUUCAGUGUGAAGAAUUUUAAUUUAACUGCACAAUUAAAAUUCUUUGUUUUUGGAUUGCUUCUUCAUUAUUGAUUUUUUCUGCUUACCUCAAGUAGGAUAAAUUACAGAUUCAGAGUUGUGUCUUACAUGCAUUUAUUUACGUGGAAACUGUGAUUUCCAAUAUCAUGAUUCUUAAUGUUCUAUGGAACCAUUGCUCAAGUUAAUAUGCUCCCUCUUUUGCGAUCGUCAAAACUGUUGGUUAGCUGUUUAUUCGGAAAAUCAGUGUUCUUCAUUGACUUUUUUUUUGAAGGGUUGGGGGAUGGGGUUGUCUUUGAUUUAAGUAGCCUAAAGGAACUAAUUUUCAUAUGGUAGGUACUUUCGACAUGCUUCUGGUGAUAUGUUUAUCAUAUCGCAGGAAUUGGCUCAGUUUGUAUCAAUAAACAGAUCUAUCCUUCGAUCCUAUGCCCACGAUGAUAUUAGUGUAGGGUCUUGGUUUAUUGGACUUGAUGUGAAGCAUA